rnacentral:rRNA from 1 species
UCCUGAUGGCUCACAUGAAGUUUCGUGUCGUUCCGACCUCGUUUGAUACGGUUAUGGUUAACCACACGGCCCCUCGGGCCCGACCCGAGCCCAGUCAAACGUUUUGACCCGACAAAAUCGGCCCGUGACCCGAACGACCCUACUUGGGCCCUACAACAGCCACGUAAAAGUUUCGGGAUGAUCCGACGUUCUUUCAUGGGGUUACGGACAAUCCACGCCAAACAAGCGUCACGGGCCGACCGAGCCGGGCCAACGGGCCCUCGGGACCCGAAAACCUGAAUUUUUUUUCAUCCAAACCCAUUAAAACACGUUACCGAGGUCUCACGCAAAAUUUCAUGCCAAUCCGACGUCGUUUGAUGGGGUUUUGAAAAAUUAUGAUUCCUCAAAAAUUUAAUGUCUGUUCCUGUCACUUAGCUUUUUGUGCAAAAUGUAUAUAUAGGGGAGGGGUGGGUGUUGAGCAGCCCAUGCCCGGGCAAGGCAUGCCAGCGCCCAGCCAAAGGAGGCUGGUGGCGUGCGUAUAACAGCUCAAAUGCCCCAACGAUGACCGAGAACAAGCGCCCAUCUCCCCUCAUUCCCCCCCACCAAGCGCCCCUCCCCCCCCAUGUUGCCUGCCCCACUCGCACAGCUACUCGUGAUUUCAUGCCCAGCGACUAGUGAAUGUGCCUCGACGACCAGCAAACCUCGAAAAUUAUGAUUCCUCGUAAAAUUAAUGUCUGUUCCUGUCACUUUACUUUUUGUGCAAAAUGUAUAUAUAGGGGAGACCAGGGGCUUGAGCAACCCCUGUGCCCAAGCAAGGGUCAGAUGGAAGCACACGAGACGCGAGGUUUAAAGCCUAUACAAGCAAGGCGUCUGUCUCCCCAAGCCCCAUUGCCUAUAAAACAAGCCCGAUGCCUUGUAAAUGCCCACACGAUGCCUAUAAACGACAACGAUGUUUGCUAGUUAAUCGAUCGACGCCCCACACCUUGCAGCAUGUUGCCUAGUAAACAAGCCAUGCUGCCUUGGAAGCGCCCCACAUCAUGGCAUGUUGCCUAGCACGCUGCCCUUGUUUCCGCACGGCGACCUGAAAGCGUGGCCUGACGACGUGCUUGCCUUCGAAAAUUAUGAUUCCUCAAAAAUUAAUGUCUGUUCCUGUCACUUUACUUUUUGU